UAAAAAACAAUGACUAACACUAGUAUGUAACAGUCCGUUUUUAGAGAGAUUUAUCCUUGGCUGAAAGAUAAAUUAAACGAAGGGUUACAGAAGCUCGUUACGAGUACAAGUAAAACUUGUCGGCUCACACCGUUAACAGUGAUAAAGAUGAUAGUCUAUUUUAGACUAUAAUCAGGGUGGUACCGCGAAGAUAGCUCUCGUCCCUGCA
rnacentral:ncRNA from 1 species